AGUGAACGCUGGCGGUAGGCCUAACACAUGCAAGUCGAACGGCAGCACAGUAAGAGCUUGCUCUUACGGGUGGCGAGUGGCGGACGGGCGAGGAAUACAUCGGAAUCUACUUUUUCGUGGGGGAUAACGUAGGGAAACUUACGCUAAUACCGCAUACGACCUACGGGUGAAAGCAGGGGAUCUUCGGACCUUGCGCGAUUGAAUGAGCCGAUGUCGGAUUAGCUAGUUGGCGGGGUAAAGGCCCACCAAGGCGACGAUCCGUAGCUGGUCUGAGAGGAUGAUCAGCCACACUGGAACUGAGACACGGUCCAGACUCCUACGGGAGGCAGCAGUGGGGAAUAUUGGACAAUGGGCGCAAGCCUGAUCCAGCCAUACCGCGUGGGUGAAGAAGGCCUUCGGGUUGUAAAGCCCUUUUGUUGGGAAAGAAAAGCAGCAGGUUAAUACCCCGCUGUUCUGACGGUACCCAAAGAAAGCACCGGCUAACUUCGUG
rnacentral:rRNA from 1 species